rnacentral:lncRNA from 1 species
UUGUAUUUUCCGCUUUAUGAGUUGUAAAUUUUUCCUCUGAUGCGGUGUGGCCUCUUCAAAAUACGUGUCUUCUUCAUAUCCCCAAUACAAGUUCACUUUCUUUCCCUCCCAUGGCUUCACCACCGACAAUUAACCUCAUCUGGGUAGUCUUCUCCAGCGUACCCAUCGGAGAUCCUUGCUAUUCUUAGAACAUCACAGCUAACAGAACUUGAAGACGAUUGUUGCAGAAUAGGUCAAAAUUAGGGUUUGUAUUUUUUCAAAACAAACAGAGAUUAUGAGCACCUCCGUACAAUUUCCAGAAUAAAAAAUCGUGACCACCAUCUUCAACCAAACAGAGCACACGAUGGCGACGACCAACGGUGACACCCAUAUUUGUUGUUGCUAGCACGGUCUAAUAUUAAGGACUACCAUAACUACACAGUUGCACGCGUGCUGUUCUUGCGCAUAUGGGCGGAACAUUAUGGGGAUCUAUGAGGCACAUUAUACCAGCUUCCACAUCAACACUUAGCACCCCCGCUGCAACGCGGGGGGUGCUUCCUUCUAGUUUUUGUAAAAUAUUAACUUUCAAUUAUUAGAAUUUUCUACGGAUAGAUUUUGUUCGAGUCUAUAUCUCUAUAUAUAUUUUUAAAAGAUAAACUUCAUUCACCAAAGAAACCAUAAGCAAGUUCUCAAAUUAAGGACCGUAAGGAAAACCAGAAAUUAUAUCAAUACUAGGUUAGAACCCCGUGUAAUACACGGGUUGAAUAAAUGUAAUUUAAUUUAU